GGAGAAGAUGUAUUUAGAACUAGAAAAGAAUAUGAAUACAACAAUUUUUUAUUUAGGGCUCGUUUGGUGGGGUUUUAUAAUAGUCAAAAGUUACUUCUGAAAUUAAAAAGUUGCUUUUGAACAUGUUUUAGGGCUUGUUUAGCAUAUUUUUGAAAAGCCUAAAUGAACUUUUGAAAUUCAAAAAUUGCUUUUGAACCCGUUUGGUUAUUUUUAUGAAUGUGUUUCUUCUGGUUAAAAGAGUUUUUGGAGGAAGCUGGUCUAAUAUUACUCUCUUCUGAAAUAGGAAUUUCUUUUGAAAGUUAAUUUCAAUAAAAAAUUAAGGUAAUAUCUAAUCUGGGCAUGAUUUGUGCUGUGUUGGUUUGGUUUGGUUAAUCAGUUUGAAUACUGGAAAGAGCUAAAAAAGAAAAAAAAAAA